GGCCAUAGCUCAGUGGCAUAGCUCCUGCUUCACAUGCAUGAUGUCCCAGGUUCAAUCCCUGGCCACGUAGGGCUG